rnacentral:piRNA from 1 species
UNGCCAGCUAGAGGAUAUUGGGAGGAGUC